AAGCUCAGUAUUAGGAAGAACCAUAUUCACAAAUGUAACCUCAUAAUGCUUAACACGCUCAGGAACGUUUUGUGCAGCAUAAGUUUCAACAAAUCUACGAGCAGCAGCAGAAGUAUACAUACCAUGGGUAAUACCAUGAGUACCAGGAAGUUCAACAAAUGCAGCGAAUGUAGGAGAAACAUGAAUAGGAUUGUAAUCACCAGACACCUCUGCAUAAGGCGAGUUAGUAGGAGGAGUAACAAAGACAGGUGAGUAUCCCUCAUCCAUGACUUGAAUUACACUGUAACCACCAUUUUCAAACUCGACGGGCUGCUCAAUAGGCUUACCGUUACGCUUCAAGAAUUCGAUGACAGGAUUGCCAUGGCAAUCGACGGAUUGAAAAUCGACAGAAGCGACUUGGAUGAUAGCUUUU